rnacentral:lncRNA from 1 species
UUUUAUCGAGAUGUGGCUUCUUUUCUAAUAUGUUUUGAUAUGUCCUUAAGUACCUUAACCAUUGUUUAAUUAAUAAGACCACUGUCGAUGGAAUAAUUCAUAUUUAUUACUAACAUGUCAUUCAAUACAUUUUACAUUCAGUUUUCU